UACAGAGGUCUCAAGCGUUGUUCGGAUUCAUUGGGCGUAAAGGGUGCGUAGGCGGCGCGGUAAGUCGGAUGUGAAAUCUUGGAGCUUAACUCCGAAGCUGCAUUCGAUACUGCCGUGCUUGAGGACUGGAGAGGAGACUGGAAUUUACGGUGUAGCGGUGGAAUGCGCAGAUAUCAGGAAGAACACCAACGGCGAAGGCAGCUCGCUGGGACGGUACUGACGCUGAGACGCGAAAGUGUGGGGAGCGAACAGG
rnacentral:rRNA from 1 species